rnacentral:rRNA from 1 species
UACGAAGGGGGCUAGCGUUGUUCGGAAUUAUUGGGCGUAAAGGGUGCGUAGGCGGUUUGGUAAGUCUGAUGUGAAAUCUAUGGGCUCAACUCAUAGUCUGCAUCGGAAACUGCCGGGCUUGAGUAUGGGAGAGGUGAGUGGAAUUCCUGGUGUAGCGGUGAAAUGCGUAGAUAUCAGGAGGAACACCUGUGGCGAAAGCGGCUCACUGGACCAUAACUGACGCUGAUGCACGAAAGCUAGGGGGAGCAAACAGG